rnacentral:misc_RNA from 1 species
AAUGAAUUCUGUGCAAUACAUGCAGGCAGGCAUGCCGCAAAAUAGCCUCCCUCCCUUCCAUACUGUGGAUGGGAGCAGAAGAGACUGUGGAACUGGUAAUGGGGACAUGGGGGUUCCCCAGCAGACCAACAACCAUGCUGGUCCUCACAUGUCAGGUUACCCAACUCGUCGUGCGAUUGUGCCAUUUUUUAAGGCUGGGCGCUUCAGUCUUCGAGAACCUGAGGUCUUUGAGUGUCAAAUGCCCAGGGUGCCCCAAGUUACAGAAAGCUCACAGACAGGAUUAGAUACACCUAAAAAGAAGUCAGGCUCAGGGGAGAAACAUUUUUUCCCAGUCAUCCCUAGCUCUUUCAGUAAUAUUAAUCCCAUGGAUGGAAAAGGAGGGUUUCCUUUUCCACGAGAGGGUGGAAACAACCGGCUGAACAGACUUGCAGGAGAAGGGGGAAUAGACGGAGUCAAAAACCUGACUACUUCCUUCACAGAAGGUGAGGGCUAUGCAAAGAGAGGUAAUUCUAAAACUGUCGUCUCCCCUAGUUUUGGUGAAGCAGCUGCCAGAGCAGUGAUGACCACUUGUGUGGCAGAUAGUGCCACUUUCGUCACAGUGGCUAUCAUGAGUCGGCAGAGCUCCAUGUUAAAGCCUAAAGUCACAAACUCAGGAGGAAGCCAUGUUCAUGGACAGUCUACUACUGAUGAUGUCAAAGAAAAUAUCUUGCGUAAUUCUACUUUAGCUGGUGGCAAUGAUAAAACCUUAACUGAAGAAGUGGCCACCCCAAGAAUUCAAACACGAAGAGGCAGGCGACCAAAUGGCAAUGUAUCUGUGUCUGUGCCUGUAACAUCCCAGAGGGGCCGAAGAUUGCGUCAGCGAGUUAUAACUGAAAACAACAUUUCUGAUGAUGAAAACUUUGAAAAGAUAAUGGAAGAAAGAAAAGAAAAGGCUCGUGCAGCAGAGCAAGAAAGACUGGAAAUCAGUGUGCGCAUUGAUGAUUCCCAAUGUGUGACCUAUGGCGAGCAGAAGCGAUGGCAGUGCAACUUGUGUGACAAGUCCUACACCACCAAGCACAACCUGGUCAUGCACAUACUCGACCACAACGGUAUCAAGCCGCACCUGUGUUUGGUGUGUGGCAAGUACUUCAAGCAGCUAAGUCACCUUAACACACACAUGCUAACGCAUGACAACGUCCGGCCCCAUGUGUGCACGUUGUGUGGCAAAGGUUUCACACAGAUCAGCCACCUGAAGCGUCAUCAGGCAGUACAUCUUGACUCUAAGCCAUACUAUUGUGAUGUUUGUGGUCGUGGCUUUACAUAUCCCAGUGAGUUGCGUCUUCAUAAGGAGCGCCAUCUACAGGACUCGACAACAUCUGGUGAACACUGUUGUCUGGAAUGUGGGGAGGAGUUUCCUAAUGCUGCACAGCUGAGUCAGCAUCAGCUUCUGCAUGAGAAUCGUGAGGAGCUGAUCUGCACCUUCUGUGGACGCAAGUUCCGCUACCCUAGUCAACUUAAAGAUCAUGUUGUCAUACACUCUGGCAGUCGGCCUUAUAUGUGCACAGAGUGUGGAAUGGAUUUUAUGAAGGAACAUCACCUUCGAGCUCACCAGUUCACACACACUGGCCUCAGACCAUUCAGCUGCCCAAUCUGUGGACGGGCGUUCAACCAGCGUGCCAACAUGCAGCGUCACAUGUUGAUACAUAAAGCUGAGCGCUCGUACAAGUGUGACUGCUGUGACAAGACCUUCACCCAACCUCAGACACUCAAGGCACACAUGGUGGUCCAUGCCGAUCACAAACCCUACAAAUGCCAGCUCUGCAGCAAGGAAUUUGGGCGUCUUCACAACUUACAUGGGCAUAUGCACAUGCACAAUAACACCAAGCCCUAUGUCUGCUUUUGUGGAAGCUCCUUUACACUAAAAGGAAACCUCAAUCGCCACAAGAAGGUGAAGCAUGGCUUGAAUGAGAGUACUGAGAGCAUGGAAGAGGAUGUUGUAAACUACCUCAGCUCCCGGCGAGCACGGGAAGAACCCUCAGGUGAUGAGACAAUGGAUGGACUUGACAGUUCCUCCCUUGAUGUCCCAGACAAAUCUUCUAGUCGCAAGCAGAGAAAGUCCACGCCCAGAAAAAUUCCACGGAGAUCCUCAGGCAGCAACCGCAAACAUAAAGAAGGUGGAGAUAUGGAUGAAGCAGAUGAAGAUGAGUGUGAAGAUGAAAAUGAUGAGUUUGAUGAUGACGAGGAUGAGGAAGGAGGGAUGAAAAAUGAAGGCUUGCCCUCCCUACAUUUUCAAGCCCUUACCGAUGAGACAGAAACGCCAGGGUCAUUGGAAUCAGACCUGAAGCGCACACAUAAUGAAGAAGAAGAAGAUGAUAAACAUGCAGAUGAGGAGGAAGAAGAGGAAGAGGUGGCUGUUAAAAAGAGUCGGAGACUUUCCGAAAGGCAGAGGGGUUUGCAUAGGACAGGAGAUUUCCUACAAGAUUUGUCCGAUACAGACAAAGAGGAUGCAGGACAAGAUGGCACACUUGAUGAAGAUUGGCUUCCCUCAUCAGAAGUGAGGAAAAAAGAUGGAAAGGGUGCAAAGCUGGAUUCUCUGAUUGCUGAAAAAUUCAAGAAUUCUUGAAAUAAUUCUUUUGGUUGGAUAUUGCAUUAUUUUUUAAUUAUUCUUUGUCCAUCUAUGUUCAUUGAAACAAUGCAGGCCUUUUUAAUAUUUAUUUCCAUAUUUUGACCAUUAUAUUUUUGGGGGAGACAGAAUGGAUGUUAAGGGUUUUAAAAUAUUUGUAAUGGAUUCAGAUAAUGCUUUGACAAAGCCCUUAACUUCCGUCUUGACCUCAAACCAGGAAAGUGUAAUCAAAAAUAAUUGUUUGGGUUUUUUUUUUUUUUUUUUGUUUUGUUUUAAUGUGGACAAAGACUUAGAAGUGCUGCUCAUUUUUUACGUGUGACCCAAAUGCAAGUAGCUGCAGAAGAGUUUAUGUGUACACAAAGAAAUUACCAGGAAAAGUAUCAGACUUGCAGAUAACACAAGAUUGUAAAUUCUACAUCUUUUGCUGCAUUUUUUUUUCACUGGCUAUCUCUAUAUUCAGCUAAGUGUGUCAAGCUGUAUAAUGCUGUAAAGAUCUCAAGUAAAGACAUUUAUAAUUCUUUGGAUGAUGUGAGUAUGACAUUUAAUGCCUGCAGAAGACCACUACAGUUGGUUGAGGUUAUUGCAUCAUGAGGUGUAUUGUGUGCCUGUGUGCGUAGGUGAGUGGAUGGCUGGCCGUAGGAGUGGUCUGUGUGUGAAUGCAUAUACCAUGAGCUUUGGUCAUUCCUUAUUAUGUUUUGUCUUGGGUACUUUUAUAUUCACAUUGACUGUUGUUGAGUCAGUGGUCCCUCUGUUCUUUUCCAUCUUUGACGAUAAUCAGUUGUUUUGUUAAACAGGCUCUGUGUUAGAUCCUUGAUUUUACCGUAGGCCUUUGGCUGUAGAGUUUUCUUUACCAUGCUCUGCGACUCAACCACAGUAAUAUAAUCUUAGCCCUUUGUUUCUGAUCACAUUUCUUCCACUAUUUUUCAUGUUUUUUAGCUGUCUCUCAAAGAGAUCUUAUUUAAGAAGUAAAAUUUUAUAGAAACCACAUUCAGCAUUGAGCCCUUACAGCAGAAUACUGCACAGUGCAAUCUAGUUCAAAUCCAGUUAAAGACAGGACCAUUUUUAUUGUUAAAAAUAAAAAGGAAGAAAAAACAUUGAUGUAGGACUUUUCUUUUCAAGCGAUGAUCAAGGCUUCUGGUGGUAAGCUUUGUCAGCUAGUGUCCAUACAGCCCUAUCCUUUGCAACCCCUACUCCCCUGACAACGCCAGUACCGGUUGACCACAGACCAACAGGGUCAAUAGAAUGAAUGAAUGCAUCAACAGUUUGAUUAAAUUGUAUUUACUUCUCGUGCAUAUGUUUAUUUCAUCUCUGUAAACUAGUUAUCUAUAUUUUCCAGUGGGCAUUAAUGUUUUCCAAUAUAUGUGUUAGUAUUCUUACAUCAAACAAUCACAAGAAGCUGAUGCAUUUAAAUUAUUUUCCUGCAAUUAUCCAGCUAAAUAAAAUUACUUUAGUUGCUAGUUAUGGGUUACUGUUAUCUGGCAGUACAACACUAUCUGUGCAAUACGACCAAUAUGACAGCUCAUUGAAAUGUUCAGGUUGUAGGCCAUGGCUUAAAAAAAAUAAACUAUCAAAAUGUAUACAUGUAUGUGGAAAAUAUUGAUGGUUGUGCACUCAGAAAACAGCAGGGAUGAACAGUUAUAAAUAUUGAUUGGAAAAAAAUCACUUGGCCCAAUCUACAGUAUAUAUUUUUUCAAUAAUUUAAUCCACUUCAUUAUUCUUGGUUUGCAUUUUGUAGCCUUUACACUUGCACAUUAUAAUUUGCUGUAGGUGUUAUUUAUGCAAUUGCAAAUUUGAAGGCUGAGAGCAAAUUGUAUGUAUUGAAAGAUAUUCGUCAAAGCCUUUUGGUGUGAGUUAGUGUUUUGGUUUCUUUUUUGUAAUUAACAUGUUUUUUUGCUAGGGUGAAGACUAAACAGGAUGCAGUGUCUUAUUCAUGCUGUUUACCAUGUGUGGUUUUCUGCUAAUUUUAUCACCGCUCUCGCUUUUGAAAUAACAGCUAGCUUGGUAAAUGAUGUUGAUAGGUUGAAUAGCAGCAUGUCUGGACAUGUUUGAUUUAUGAUCUGUUAAUUGUUAUCAAAGUAGGCAGCAGUUUGAUUGUCAAUAGCUUUGUUAAGUCCUGGUACUUAGAAAUGUUUACCAGUAAUUUUUGCUUUUGUUUUUUUUUUAGAGAUGGUAUGGAAAAAACCUUUUGUAAAAUGCUGAUUUCACAGUAACCAAUUCCAGGUUCAUAUAGCAUGGAUCACUAUGUUCUUUGCAACAUGUUGGUGAUGGCUAUAGGUCACAUAUUUUCAUCUGAUCAUCACAAAGUGUGUUUUAAUAAGAGUGACCUAACCCUAACCCUUCAUUAAUCAGUCUUGUGGCAAGAAUACUCAAACAGUAGUUAAAAAAUAAAACAGGAGUCAGUAUUCAGCAAGGUUAUCUUCUUUACACAAUCAUUUGUUGAAGACCACACUCACUUAUCAGAGCUGAUGUUAGGCUGUGUUGCACCCUAGACAAAAGACAAAUGCUGUGUCCCCUAUCCCAAGAAAAGUGUAUGAGUUAUAACAUUUAUUUUGAAAUUUAUUUAGAUGUCCUAGAAAUUGGUGCUUAAAACCUCGCUUUGCAUUUUGCUGUGCAAAAAGUUAUAAGUUUCUUCAGAUUUAGUGCAUUUGUCAAGUCUUGCUUAAUAGGUAUUGUGGCCAGCUCGAUCAGUCUGUCUUUCAACAUUAUUGAUCUCAUCUAAUUUUUAAUUAAUUUUGAUUUUGAGAAACUCCGUUCUACUCUGGCAGCAGAAAUUGAAAUUGGAAGGGUCAAUAAAAUUUUAAGAGACACUACAACAUUCAGCACAAUAUCAAAUAGUUUAUGUUGGAUAAUGUGAAUAUUAAGACUUCUUUAGGGGUUCAUUUUAGGCCUGGGAAGCAGAGUUCCUAUGCAUCAGUGACUGUGCUGUGUGUGUGCAUUAGUGCCUUUUCCAAGACCUUGCAAGAAAGUAGAAUGUCCUUUGUUGGCUUUUCAGAAAUGCUUUGGACAUCAUAAAGAAAUCCAAAUAAGGUGCUGUGCUCCUACAUCUAUUUAAAUCUGUCUUCAGUGGACGCAGUGGUUGUGUCUAUCACAGCACAAAAAAAACUGACUUUGAAACUUCAUCAUUAUCUUCUAUUGUGUUGUUGAAACUUCAGCAUGAUCUUCUGUCUUCGGCUGCCUCAUAGUAAACUGUAAUUAGCAAGGGCUUGAGCUUCAGCAUGUUUCUUUUCAUGAUGCUCCCCGAAGGCUUGCAUUCUUAGCAAUAUUUAUGAGAGCAUCAUAAAUUUUACCUAGCUGGUAUCUCAGGUUUCAAAGCAUCUAUUCUAUUUUCCCAUCUGGUUUCACUUAGUGGUUUUCUAAACAUGAUUUUUCAGUACUUUCCAACAUCUUGACCCAGAGAAAUAAUUAUAAAUUUGUUGAAUUAAUCCAAAGAAAUUGAUAGCCUCUAGACAACUCUUAGCUGCAUCAUUUAAAGAAUGUGCACAGCAUGGGACAAAAAAAACCCAUGGAUUUAUUAUCUGAAAAACCGCUGUCUUUGCCUUUCAUGUUGCUUUCAUUAUCAUAGCCUUGACCUCACAGGUUAUCUAUUCAAGUCCAUUUCUUGAAGUUGUUUGAGAAGAACUUCUGUCAUAAACGCACUUCAUUUUCAGACAAUGGUACAAAUUCUGGGAAAUGCUUUUAUUGCAAUGUGAAACCUAGAACUUUCAGAAGCAGUGAUUAACAAAUGAAUAAUCACUGUCAUUUUCUCAUUGUGACUAACAUCUGGUGUGCAGUUCAAGAUGACAGAAUAAUACUUAGCUUGACUAGCAGCUGUUGAAAUUUUCUGCUUUAUUGCAUUUGCUAGCGGCUAUAUUCAUUCUGUGUAUCUUUUCCAAGAUAGUGUAUCAUUGUCAUUAAUUCUUCACAAAUGUUCAUUCAUCACACAGUCAAAAGUGCUAGUUAUUCUACAAACUUCAAGGAAUUGCCAUUUCUUGCACUAUGAAGGUUGCCAUUUGCACCACGUAAUGCAGGGUUUUGCAUUGCAUUAGGAUAAAAGAGAAAGGUGGGGCUGGCAUGUGGUCCCAAUCAUCCUAGGGGUGUGCCCCGACCAGCCCCAUCCCCAUCUCUGCCUCUUAUUAACAAGAACUUUUAGGCCUGAGAUCAACGUAAUGUACUGGACCCAUCAGUAAUUGUACAGUUUAUGCUAGCUGCUGCCUUGUCUGAUAGUCAUUGUCACAAAUAUGAUCCCAAGUCACCUCUGAACUCCUGAAUGUUUUACUACCUUUCAAGGCAGAAACAAUAUAGGCAGCUCUGUAUACUUUAACAGCUUCUGUACACAUUUCCACAUUAUGCAAAAACGGUAUCAUCUAAUCAUGAUGAUUAAUCAUAACAAAGUUGUGUCCAAUGUGCAUCUUACAAGAUGGCAGGAUCAUACUGCUUUCUUUGAUAUCCUUUUAUGAAAGAUAACCCAAACUAAAAACAAAAUUAAAAUUUAAGUUACGAUCAAGUUGACAGCUGUUGCUACAAGAAAACAGUGAAUUUUUAAUUUUCAAAAAAACACAUAUGUGCUUACAAUUUCACUGAAGGCUGCAGCAAGCAUGAUUUCUUUAAACAGAUGCUAAAACAGCAUUGCAGUCAUUGCACCAACAUGCUGUCAUGAUGGACCUCUUUCUACAACCCAAGUGAGAACUGUUUUCACCUGGGCUUGUAUCUUGUGUACAGAACUUUUCACUCAAAUUUGGGAAUUCGUAUCUUUGUAUGUUAAUGAAUUCAUGAAAUCAUUGAAAAUAACUUUGCUUUCAGAUUAGCCUUACAAUAUCUUGCGUGUUAAAGUUUUUGGCAAAAAGGAGUUGCAAAGGUUUUAAAACUCCAUAAUUAUUCCCUUACUGUUCUAACCCAAGAGCAUUUUUUUAAUGAGUGGGUUUUGUUUUAAUUUCAUGUUUGACUUGAAUUAGCCUUUUCAUUACAGUACUACUGCAGCAUUUGUUUGAAUGAACUUGUGGACACCAAAUGUACAUCGUACAGAAUCCUGUGAACCUUGUAAGCAUCUUAUCAGUGUUAGAAAUAGUUUAACAUAUUGAGAUGAGAUGUUGGGGGAACCUUAUUGGAUUGGUUCUUCUGUCUGAAUUAUAAAGAAGCAUACUCAUGAAAUUCGAAUUCUUAAUUAGACUUGAAAAAAAGAGCUAGUUUGCUUAACUGGGAUUUUUUUACUUUUGUGUGACUGUUGUACUAAAUAGCUUUUACAUUCCAUAUUUAUAGGACUCUCAUUUUAUUGCCAUUUUCAUUCUUGCACUUUUGCUGCUUUUUCCCCCCAUGAAACUUCAGUGUUGGACCUCACGACUUUAUUCUAGUUGUACAUUCUUUAUGCGUUUAAAAAAAUUACCUUUCCUAUA